rnacentral:rRNA from 1 species
UAAGGAAUAUUGGUCAAUGGACGAAAGUCUGAACCAGCCAUGCCGCGUGAGGGAUGAAGGUCCUCUGGAUUGUAAACCUCUUUUAUCUAUGAAGAAAUGUCCUGUUUCUACGGGAUUUGACGGUAAUAGAUGAAUAAGCACCGGCUAACUCCGUGCCAGCAGCCGCGGUAAUACGGAGGGUGCAAGCGUUAUCCGGAUUUACUGGGUUUAAAGGGUGCGUAGGUGGGUUGGUAAGUCAGUGGUGAAAUACUUUCGCUUAACGAAGGAACUGCCAUUGAUACUACCAGUCUUGAAUACAGUGGAGGUAGGCGGAAUGCGUCAUGUAGCGGUGAAAUGCUUAGAUAUGACGCAGAACACCAAUUGCGAAGGCAGCUUGCUACACUGUUAUUGACACUGAGGCACGAAAGCGUGGGGAUCAAACAG